CCUACGGGAGGCAGCAGUAGGGAAUCUUUCACAAUGGGCGAAAGCCUGAUGGAGCAACGCCGCGUGCAGGAUGAAGGCCUUCGGGUUGUAAACUGCUUUUAUAAGCGAGAAAUAUGAUGGUAACUUAUGAAUAAGGAUCGGCUAACUACGUGCCAGCAGCCGCGGUCAUACGUAGGAUCCGAGCAUUAUCCGGAGUGACUGGGUGUAAAGAGUUGCGUAGGUGGCAUAAUAAGUAGCUAGUGAAAUCUGGUGGCUCAACCAUUCAGACUAUUAGCUAAACUGUUAAGCUCGAGACCGUUAGGGGUAACUGGAAUGUGUAGUGUAGGAGUGAAAUCCGUAGAUAUUAGAAGGAACACCAAUAGCGUAGGCAGGUUGCUGGGACGGUUCUGACACUAAGGCACGAAAGCGUAGGGAGCAAACGGGAUUAGAUACCCUAGUAGUC
rnacentral:rRNA from 1 species